CUGCGUAAGCGAUAGAAGCGGCAUCCUUUUUCGGUUUGCGGCGGCUUCGCCGCCGCAAACCGAAAAAGAUAUAGCGGAUAGCGCGACCCUAG
rnacentral:sRNA from 1 species